CUUAAAAGAAUUCGAGAAUAAAAAAUUUGAUACCAAUACAAGUGAUAAAACCUAAAAUCAUUAAGUUUUUCAAUUUAUAAUAAAAGUUUAAAAUAUUUACUUAGUUAUAUUUGGAUUAGGUUUUAAUUUUAAAAAAAUAUUAGUAAAAUAUUUUCUGGAUCAAAAGUUAUUGAAUAUAUCAACACAUAGUGGGAUAUUUAUAAACUUAAAUAUUGUUGUCAUUAAAAAAAUGGUACCUGUUUAUUUAUUAUGCAUCAAUACAUUAUAAACAAGUACGGCAUAAGAAAAGGAGUAAUAUUCAAAAGUUUUUAAGUGAUAUUCCAUUAAAAAGACUAAAGGUCAACGAUUCAUCCCUUUGCUAUGCUGAAAUUUCUUAGCGCUUUAAUGAAUGGCUCGUUUCGCAAUCUAUAGAGCGGAAAUAAUACUUAACCGUAACAAUACUGUCUCCAUAUCAUUUGUAGUUUUUGAUAAUUGUUGUCACUAAGUAUUUUG